UAAGUAGGUCCCGAACGUUGCGCGAAUUUACUGGGCGUAAAGGGUCCGUAGGCGGUUUAGCAAGUGGUUGGAGAAAUUUCACGGCUCAACCGUGAAACUGCCUUCCAAACUGCUAAACUUGAGGCAGGGAGAGGUCGGCGGAAUUCCCGGUGUAGCGUUGAAAUGCGUAGAUAUCGGGAGGAACACCAGUGGCGAAGGCGGCCGACUGGAACUUUCCUGACGCUGAGGGACGAAAGCUAGGGGAGCAAACCGG
rnacentral:rRNA from 1 species